UACGUAGGGCGCAAGCGUUAUCCGGAAUUAUUGGGCGUAAAGGGCUCGUAGGCGGUUUGUCGCGUCGGGAGUGAAAAUCCAGGGCUUAACUCUGGACUGGCUUCCGAUACGGGCAGACUAGAGGUAUGCAGGGGAGAACGGAAUUCCUGGUGUAGCGGUGAAAUGCGCAGAUAUCAGGAGGAACACCGGUGGCGAAGGCGGUUCUCUGGGCAUUACCUGACGCUGAGGAGCGAAAGUGUGGGGAGCGAACAGG
rnacentral:rRNA from 1 species